CCUACGGGAGACAGCAGUGAGGAAUAUUGGUCAAUGGACGAGAGUCUGAACCAGCCAAGUAGCGUGAAGGAUGACUGCCCUAUGGGUUGUAAACUUCUUUUAUAUGGGAAUAAAAUAGGUUAUGCAUACCCUCUUGUAUGUACCAUAUGAAUAAGGAUCGGCUAACUCCGUGCCAGCAGCCGCGGUAAUACGGAGGGUCCGGGCGUUAUCCGGAUUUAUUGGGUUUAAAGGGAGCGUAGGUGGAUUGUUAAGUCAGUCGUGAAAGUUUGCGGCUCAACCGUAAAAUUGCAGUUGAAACUGGCAUGCUUGAGUGCAGUAGAGGUAGGCGGAAUUCGUGGUGUAGCGGUGAAAUGCUUAGAUAUCACGAAGAACUCCGAUUGCGAAGGCAGCUCACUGGACUGCAACUGACGUUGAGGCUCGAAAGCGUGGGUAGCGAACAGGAUUAGAUACCCCAGUAGUC
rnacentral:rRNA from 1 species